GAUUAAUGGGCAACCUUAUGGUC
rnacentral:siRNA from 1 species